AUGAUAGACAUUGAGAAGCUAAAGAAGCGAGAAGCCAAGGAGAGAAAAGAGGAAGUGAACAGUAAGAUAGCUUCGAGGAAAGCAAUCUCAAUUAUACUCAGGAGAGAGGCUACCAAAGCACUCAUUGAGAAGAAGAGGGGUCCCACCAAUUCUAAAAAGCUUCUUCCCAGGACUGUUCUUGAAGCCCUUCACGAGCGAAUCAAGGCUUUGCGUCCUGACUCUGCUCUCAAGGUCGUCUAUUUCACUUCCAAACUCUAUAUAUAUAUAUGUUGGAAAAUAGGUUUCUUUACUUUUGGACUUUGGAGUUCAAUUUGAUUUGAUUCUAUUCAAAAUAUUUAGCUAACUUUUUUUUUUUUUCGAUUUGGGCAACUGGGUUCUGUUUGUUUGCUAAGAAAAUGAAUUCUAAGUACGUCUCCACUUUGGAUUUGGGUAACUCGGUUCUGUUUUUGUCUACAAUAUUUUCCAUUAACAGAAUAGAGGAAAUUGAAGAAUGAAUGUUACUGGAAAAUGAAAAAUACAAGUGCGCCUGUAGAAAAUAUUUGAAUUCUAAGUAUGUUUGGAUGCAUUUUAAUAUUGCUGAAAUUACUUUACAAAUAAGGGGACCCAUUAAAAUAAGCUUAAAAAGCUAGAAGAAACUAUUUUCAGGUUUGCCAUGUGUUGAGUGGUUUCUUAUUUUGGAUGGUAUUUUGCACAACAAUCUAAAAGGGUUGUGCACAAAACUCUCCCUUUUGCAGAGCCUGGAAGAGGUGAUUUGUUAGUCAGCCUUGUGCCCUUUUUUCUUCUCUUUUUGGGAGAGGCCGAUUCCCAGACGGGAACCUGUGACAUAGGAAGUUAUCCUAUCCAUGCUGUAUUCAUACAUGUUCAAAGCCACUUUUUGCACAACAAUCUGAAUUCUUCAAAUUAGAAGACAAGUAGUCUAAUAGUCUUACCAGGGUUUCCUCUCAUGAUUAUGGUUUCUUUUCUUAUCUUCAGGUGUUUGAACUACUACGUGAGCAGCUGUGGUACAGGCCCAAUCCUGGAGUGUACAUUAAGUUAAUUGUGAUGCUUGGAAAAUGUAAGCAACCUCAAAAAGCCGAUGAACUUUUUCAAGCCAUGAUUGAUGAAGGGUGUGUUGUGAACCAUGAAGCAUACACUGCUCUCUUAUCUGCCUACGGUAGGAGUGGUCUCUUUGACAAAGCAUUUUCCCUCCUCGAGCAGAUGAAGAAUACUCCUGAUUGUCAGCCUGAUGUGCAGACUUACUCAAUCCUCAUAAAAUCAUGUUUAGAGUAUUUUGCCUUUGACAAAGUGCAGGCUCUGCUUUCUGACAUGACAACUCAGGGAAUCAGACCAAACACCGUCACAUACAAUACCCUAAUCGAUGCCUAUGGGAAGGCCAGAAAGUAUGUUGGCAAUUUCUUCUAACCCUUUUUCUGAAUUUUGUAUGUGCCAUCUGGUUGCCAAGAAACUAAGGGAACCGAGUUAAUAUAAAUUUAAGUAUAUCAACCAUCAUCUGAGCAUCAUGAAAGAGAGCAAGAAGGACUAAGCAGUAUAUUAAAAUGGUCUCUUUUUACUUUUCAGUUUUUUUCUAUUUCUUUAAAUGGGCAGAGAAAAGGUGGAUGGAUAGCAGCCAUCACUUCCACUAUUCCUAUAAAUUGCCCACUAAACCAAAUUUGAGAAUGGAUGUUGGCUUUGUUUCAGUUCACUUUGUUUCCGUCUAAUAUUCUUUGCAACCAGAUGGAGCUUGAUAUUAUGCUUCACUCUCAGAGCAGUAAUUUAUUCUUUCUACUUCCUAAAAGGUUUUCAGAGAUGGAAUCGACCCUUGUGGAAAUGCUCCAUGAGAAGAACUGUGAACCUGAUGUUUGGACCAUGAACUCCACGCUCAGAGCCUUUGGUAGCAGCAGGCAAACAGAAACAAUGGAGAAGUGCUAUGAGAAAUUUCAGAGUGCUGGGGUCCAACCAAACAUUCGAACCUUCAAUAUUCUACUAGAUUCCUAUGGAAAAGCAGGAGAGUAUGAGAAAAUGAGUGCUGUGAUGGAAUACAUGCAGAAAUACCAUUACUCUUGGACGAUCGUUACCUACAAUGUGGUGAUAGAUGCAUUUGGGAAGGCUGGAGAUUUAAAACAAAUGGAAUAUUUGUUUAGGCUAAUGCGGUCAGAGAGGAUUAAGCCAAGCUGUGUUACACUUUGCUCGCUAGUAAGGGCUUAUGGGCAAGCUGGUAAACCUGAAAAGAUUGGUGGUGUUUUGCGUUAUAUUGAGAAUUCAGAUGUGGUACUGGAUACCGUGUUUUUCAAUUGCCUGGUGGAUGCUUAUGGUAGGAUGGGAUGCUUUGCAGAGAUGAGGGGAGUUCUUGACAUGAUGGAGCAGAAAGGAUGUAAGCCUGAUAAGAUUACAUAUAGAACCAUGAUUAAAGCUUAUUAAAUCAAUGGGAUGACUAGCCAUGUUAAGGAGCUCCAAAAUCUGAUUGGAUAUGCUGAAGGGACUCAAUCAUAUAUGGGGAAGCCCGACUUUCGAUGAGGGAAGUUUAACAGGUCAUUCCUCCCGUGAUGUAUAUACAUAUUCUUCGUUUAGCAGUGAAUCUUAUUUUUUACAUCACAUAUUCUUUGUUUAGUAGUGAAUCUUACUUUUGAAUGUGUAUAUUUUUAAAAUUCAAAAAAAAUAAUCAAUAUCUUGUAAUAAUUUUGGUUUUUCAACUUGUCUUGCAUCUGAUAUUGUGCCUUAGAAAGCAUGAACCUAUCUUCCAUUUCUCUUUUCAUCCGUAACUUGUAGCAAUCUUAACAUUCAUAACAUUUAAGAAUUAGGUUAAUUGUGGAAAACCACUUUAAAGUUUAAACCACUUAUUGUGCGAUAUGCGCCCUGCAAUCUAAAUAAGAAAAUAAGUAUGAUAUUUGAUAUGGGGCUAAAAAUAUUGUUUGGAAAAAGUAGAUCUAUGGAUAUGCUAACAAAGAAGAUUAAGUGUGUGAUGCCUUAGGCCUUGGCUCAGUUGCUAAAAGAACAGAGUGGGUUUGAAAAGGUCCCAGGUUCAAAUAAAAAUUGGGUAAAGAUGAUGAAAUAAGUGAAACGCUUUUCCUGCAAAAAUUUGUGGGAGUUUUUGGUCCUUUCGAGCUGUAGAUGUUAGAAUUUCUUUCCGAGUGUUUCUCUAGUAUACUUCCAGCACUAGGGUUUUUUUUGGGGGAUUUUUUUUUUUUUUAAUGAAUGUUCAUAAUGGCCCUUUUUAUAUUUAAUGAAUUGCUCAUAAAAAUUUAAAUUAAAAAAAAAAAAAAAAGGUGAAAUGAGUUAAUGUAAAAAGGACUGUGCAACUUUGGGAAUCAAAGAGAUUUAAAGGCAAUGAGCUAGAUUUAUCUGAAGAAUCGCAAGUUGACCAAGAGGCCUUUUCGGAAGUGGUGUUGAUACUUAUACAAUAGCAUAAGUGAAAUAAGGGGAAUAGAAAAUUCUAAUGGAGCUUGGAAAUAAGUGCACAGAUCUUCAUUAUAAAAGAGUAACAUGUUUGAUACAUAUGAAUUUGGUUCACCUGCUUAAUUAGCAAUAAGAAAUCUUUUGCUGGAAAAAUAAAGUAGUAAAUAUAAAAUAUAAUUGAAUAAAAAAAAAAGCGGGUUCCAUUGUUUCUAUGGUUAUUGUUUUUGUUUAGAGAAGGGGGCAGGAUUUGAAAAGGAAUAUCUUGAUCCUGGACUGGUGUUGAUGUUGCUGUUCUACAUCAGUUGUUUUGCUUAUAAGAAUAGUGGAGAAUCAGUUGAUGAUCUUCUUUUUCAUUGUUUAGUCACUAUAGUCACUAGGGAUACUGGGUCUUUAAGUGUUUGCCUUAUUUGGAGCCUCUUCAAUUAUGCCAAAGACAGUGACAAGGAGAACUCCAGUGUCAGAAGUGCUAAUAUGGAAGGUGAUUCCAUUGUGUGUUAUGUGGGCAAUCUGGUGUGA
rnacentral:sRNA from 1 species